GACGAACGCUGGCGGCGUGCCUAAUACAUGCAAGUAGAACGCACAGUUUAUACCGUAGCUUGCUACACCAUAAACUGUGAGUUGCGAACGGGUGAGUAACGCGUAGGUAACCUGCCUGGUAGCGGGUGAUAACUAUUGUAAACGAUAGCUAAUACCGCAUAAUAUUGAUUAUUGCAUGAUAAUUGAUUGAAAGAUGCUAUUGCAUCACUACCAGAUGGACCUGCGUUGUAUUAGCUAGUAGGUGAGGUAACGGCUCACCUAGGCGACGAUACAUAGACGGCCUGAGAGGGUGAUCGGCCACACUGGGACUAGGACACGGCCCAGACUACUACGGGAGGCAGCAGUAGGGAAUCUUCGGCAAGUGACGAAAGUCUGACCGAGCAACGCCGCGUGAGUGAAGAAGGGUUUCGGAUCGUAAAGAUCUGUUGUAAGAGAAGAACGGGUGUGAGAGUGGAAAGUUCACACUGUGACGGUAGCUGACCAGAAAGGGACGGCUAACUACGUG
rnacentral:rRNA from 1 species